rnacentral:piRNA from 1 species
GCAGCCUCAGGAGAACACGACUCACGU